UACGAAGGGGGCUAGCGUUGCUCGGAAUCACUGGGCGUAAAGGGUGCGUAGGCGGGUUUUUAAGUCAGAGGUGAAAUCCUGGAGCUCAACUCCAGAACUGCCUUUGAUACUGAAAGUCUUGAGUAUGGGAGAGGUGAGUGGAACUGCGAGUGUAGAGGUGAAAUUCGUAGAUAUUCGCAAGAACACCAGUGGCGAAGGCGGCUCACUGGCUCAUAACUGACGCUGAGGCACGAAAGCGUGGGGAGCAAACAGG
rnacentral:rRNA from 1 species